CAUUAGGUCUAGCGAUUUGCACGUGAAGCCGAAGGGGGUCGCAGAGAAAUGGCGGUAGCGACUGUUUACUAAAAACACAGGACUCUGCUAAGUCGUAAGACGAUGUAUAGGGUCUGACGCCUGCCCGGUGCUGGAAGGUUAAGGGGAUUUGUUAGCGCAAGCGAAGCUUUGAACCGAAGCCCCAGUAAACGGCGGCCGUAACUAUAACGGUCCUAAGGUAGCGAAAUUCCUUGUCGGGUAAGUUCCGACCUGCACGAAUGGCGUAACGAUUUCCGCGCUGUCUCAACCAGUGGCUCAGCGAAAUUGAAUUCUCGGUGAAGAUGCCGAGUACCCGCGGUAAGACGGAAAGACCCCGUGAACCUUUACUAUAGCUUGACAGUGACAUUCGGAAUAGCUUGUGUAGGAUAGGUGGGAGACUUUGAAGCUGGCACGCCAGUGUCGGUGGAGUCGCCCUUGAAAUACCACCCUGGUUGUUUUGGAUGUCUAACCUUGGCCCGUCAUCCGGGUCGGGGACACUGUCUGGUGGGUAGUUUGACUGGGGCGGUCGCCUCCCAAAGAGUAACGGAGGCGCGCGAAGGUUCCCUCAGGUUGAUUGGAAACCAACCGUAGAGUGCAAUGGCAUAAGGGAGCUUGACUGCGAGACCCACAAGUCGAGCAGGUACGAAAGUAGGUCAUAGUGAUCCGGCGGUUCUGUAUGGAAGGGCCGUCGCUCAACGGAUAAAAGGUACUCCGGGGAUAACAGGCUGAUCUCCCCCAAGAGUUCACAUCGACGGGGAGGUUUGGCACCUCGAUGUCGGCUCAUCGCAUCCUGGGGCUGAAGUAGGUCCCAAGGGUUUGGCUGUUCGCCAAUUAAAGCGGUACGCGAGCUGGGUUUAAAACGUCGUGAGACAGUUUGGUCCCUAUCUACCGUGGGCGCAGGAUACUUGAGAAGAGUUGUCCUUAGUACGAGAGGACCGGGAUGAACGUACCGCUGGUGUUCCAGUUGUGCCGCCAGGCGCAGUCGCUGGGUAGCUACGUACGGAAAGGAUAACCGCUGAAAGCAUCUAAGCGGGAAGCCUCCUUCAAGAUUAGGUAUCCCUGGGUGUAAUAACCCCUAAAGGCCCGUUGUAGACCACAACGUUGAUAGGCCGGGUGUGUAAGUGCAGUAAUGCAUUUAGCUUACCGGUACUAAUCGGCCGUGAGGCUUGACCAUAAAA
rnacentral:rRNA from 1 species